UGUCCUUCACCUGAGUCGAGUGGCGUCUAGUUGGUGGGUCCCAUCUCACGUGAGUGCAGGACAAACCAGCCCUUUGUUUAGCCCUGCUUAGCUUCUGGACUGUGUCCAGGCCUGCUUCAGGCUGUGGACACAUGG